rnacentral:rRNA from 1 species
GAGGAAAAGAAACCAACAGGGAUUGCCUCAGUAACGGCGAGUGAAGCGGCAAAAGCUCAAAUUUGAAAUCUGGCUCUUUCAGGGUCCGAGUUGUAAUUUGUAGAAGAUGCUUUGGGUGUGGUUCUGGUUUAAGUUCUUUGGAAUAUUACAUCAUAGAGGGUGAGAAUCCCGUAUGUGACCAGUCGCCGCGCCCGUGUAAAGCUCUUUCAACGAGUCGAGUUGUUUGGGAAUGCAGCUCAAAAUGGGAGGUAUAUUUCUUCUAAAGCUAAAUAUUGGCCAGAGACCGAUAGCGCACAAGUAGAGUGAUCGAAAGAUGAAAAGCACUUUGGAAAGAGAGUUAAACAGUACGUGAAAUUGUUGAAAGGGAAGCGCUUGCAACCAGACUUGCACGCAGUUGAUCAUCCGGUGUUCUCACCGGGGCACUCUGCUGCGUUCAGGCCAGCAUCGUUUUCGGUGGUUGGAUAAAGGCCUUGGGAAUGUAGCUUCUUUCGGGGAGUGUUAUAGCCCUCGGUGCAAUGCAGCCUACCGGGAGCGAGGACCGCGCUUCGGCUAGGAUGC